CAGUCGCCGCGGUAAGACGUAGGGGGCCAGCGUUGUUCGGAAUUACUGGGUGUAUAGGGUUCGUAGGCGGUGCGGCAAGUUGGGAGUGAAAUCUCUGGGCUUAACCCAGAGGCUGCUUCCAAAACUGCUGUGCUUGAGUGUGGGAGAGGCGCGUGGAAUUGCAGGUGUAGCGGUGAAAUGCGUAGAUAUCUGCAGGAACACCCGUGGCGAAAGCGGCGCGCUGGACCACUACUGACGCUGAGGAACGAAAGCUAGGGGAGCAAACAGGAUUAGAUACCCCGGUAGUCCCUGUCUCUUAUAC
rnacentral:rRNA from 1 species